rnacentral:rRNA from 1 species
AACGAACGCUGGCGGCAUGCCUAACACAUGCAAGUCGAACGAGACCUUCGGGUCUAGUGGCGCACGGGUGCGUAACGCGUGGGAACCUGCCUUUAGGUUCGGAAUAACUCAGAGAAAUUUGAGCUAAUACCGGAUGAUGUCUUCGGACCAAAGAUUUUUCGCCUUUAGAUGGGCCCGCGUUGGAUUAGCUAGUUGGUGGGGUAAAGGCCUACCAAGGCGACGAUCCAUGGCUGGUCUGAGAGGAUGAUCAGCCACACUGGGACUGAGACACGGCCCAGACUGCUACGGGGGGCAGCAGUAGGGAGUAUUAUGCGAUGAGCGAAAGCCUGAUCCAGCAAUGCCGCGGGUGUGAGGAAGGCCUUAGGGUUGUAAAUCUCUUUGACCCGAGAUGAUAAUGACAGUAUCGGGAGAAUAAGCUCCGGCUAACUCCGUG